ensembl:lncRNA LINC02851 long intergenic non-protein coding RNA 2851
AUAGGCUGAUGGCCCACUCACCUUUUUAGCUGGGCUCCUGACCUGUCCGGCCAGAAAGUUGCCACUGGGAAACCUGGACCCCUACUGAAUGGAUCUGCUGGCACCUAGACCUCAGAGAAGGGGGAACUGAAGACUGAAGUCUGACCACUGUUCUUUGUUGAAAAUUUCUUUCUCAGGGGCUUGGAGGGAUCACAUCUACAAUCCUGAGCUAAUAUUCUCUUCUGCUGUCCCCAAAAUUUAAACGAAGCUUCUCUUAACCCAUUGCAAAUGAGAAAAAUCUUUGAAUCUACCUAUGACUAUAAGCCCUUAUUUCAAGAUAUCCUGCCUUUUUAGGCCAGAACCAAAGUGUAACCUCCAUCUAUUGAUUUACAAUUUUGCCUGUAACUUUGGCUUUCCUGAAAUUUACCCCAGCCUUAAAAAAAAAAAAGAACAGAAAAAGAAAACUGCAAGGCAUCAGGGAGGUCAGAAUUUGGGCAUGAGCUGCCUGAUCCUCCUUGCUUUGCAUCUUUGCAAAUAGAUGCCUUCAGCUGUGCAUGAUGGCUCACACCUCUCAUCCCAGCACUUUGGGAGGGCAAGGCGGGAGGAUUGCUCCAUCCCAGGAGUUCGAGAUCAGGGGCAAAAUGCCGAAACCCUGUCUCUACAAAAAAUUAAAAAAUUAGCUGGGCAUGAUGGUGCACUUCUGUAGUCCCAGCUACUUGGGAGGCUGAGGCAGGGGGAUUGCUUGAGCCCAAGAGGUUGAGGCUACAUGAGCCAUCAUCGUGCCACUGCACUCCAGCCUGGGAAACAGAAUGAGACCCUGUCUCAAAACAAAACAUUUGAAAAAUAACAAGUUCAGGUGCAGUGGCUCAUACCUGUAAUCCCAGCACUUUGGGAGGCCAAAGUGGUCGGAUCACUUGAGGCCAGGAGUUCAUGACCAGCCUGGCCAACAUGGCAAAACCCCAUCUCUACUAAAAAUACAAAAAUUAGCUGGGUGUGGUGGCUGGCAACUCUAGUCCCAGCUACUCCGGAGGCUGAGGCAGGAAAAUCACUUGAACCCAGGAGGCGGAGGUUGAAGUGAGCCGAGAUCACACCACUGCACUCCAGCCUGGGCAACAGAGCAAGACUCUGUCUCCAAAAAUAACAAAAAAUAAAUACAUGCCUUCCUUUCUACUGCUGCACAACCUCACUGUGUCAGGCAGGCAUCUCUGGAUCCAGCUGGUUUUUGUUUUGCUGAGGCUCAGCUUCUUCCUGGAACUUUUUGAAACAACACUCAAGGGUCUCAAAUGGCUGACAUGAUGGUCUGUGACCUGAAAGUUGUUGAAUAGUUGGAGUGUUCUGCAUUCAUGUGGAAGAGGCUAAAGGAUGUUUGAUGAAGCACUAUGGGCUGCCCUGGAAGAGGACUGAAGAAGCAGCUGCAGGAAAGAAACGUCCACUCUGCUCCAGUCAACCCCACUGCUGGUGUCCUCUGCACUGCCUUGCACUCCCUGAAGAGAGCCUGGGCAACAGAGCGAGACUCCAUCUC